rnacentral:lncRNA from 1 species
GCUGGAUCCACCUGAAUGUUUAGACCGUCGGGAUGGAGUUGCAAACGCAGCAUGGACAGAGAUGGAGGAAAACAGGAAGAAAACUGGACCCGUUACAUGGCCUUUUUUUAUUUUGUUGUUGGGCUGAUUUUCUUCACAAUGGGUCUCUUUUUGCUUAAAAAUCGUAAACCCAAAUAAAAUACCCAAUGAAUUGUCUUGGUCUAUAAAUCAUAAUCCAUAUAAUUUCAUUUUCCCUUCAACUCCAAAUUUCAUUUCCCCCAAAUCGUGAAACUAUGAAAGGCAAUUGGGGUGAUUGGCAGCAAUAUAGAAUCCUCCAAGAAUCCACUGCUUCCGGUUUCUAAUUCUGUAGCCGACGCCAAAGGUAGCAAGAAAAGCCCCACCAUUACAAAGAAAGGUGCAUUUGCUGCCAUUUGUUACAUGGCUUGUGCUGGUUAGUGAUGAUUUUCUUUUCUUCCUCAGGAUUACCAGUUUAUGACAUGUCAUCUGUGUUCUUUUCCAGCUUAAAUCUGUGUUUUCCAGCUUAAAUUUGGGUUUUCAUUUUAGUGUAUGUGAUAUGUGGUUGUGUACCAUGCGUUAAGAGUUCCUGAAGGCCAUGGUGUUUUUUGAAGUAAUAUUUAUUUAUUUCUUACUUACUUUUGUAUCAAGAUGACAGCAAUACAGCACUUUUCUUCCAAAUAAUAUUUGUCUCAGUAUUAUGUUAUGUCUUACUUUUAUGAUUAUCACUAACAAUUUUCGUUAUUAAAAAUUAUUGAAAUGCAUGGUUGGUCCCUAAUCUAUUGAGAAAGUAGAAGUGGGUGCUGACCUUUCAAAAUAGGUGCAAAACCAGUCCUCAUAGAUAUUUAUAUUGAAACUCCUUUCCUUUUCAAUUAUUACAUAAAC